rnacentral:rRNA from 1 species
UCGGUAGAGGGGUUUUGAUUAUCUCUCUGCCUGAGCUAACGCGUUAAGUGCCCCGCCUGGGGAGUACGGCCGCAAGGCUAAAACUCAAAAGAAUUGACGGGGGCUCGCACAAGCGGUGGAGCAUGUGGCUUAAUUCGAUGCAACACGAAGAACCUUACCGGGGCUUGACAUGGUAGAAGUAGGAGCCCGAAAGGGUAACGAACGGUAUCCAGUCCGUAGCUAUCACAGGUGUUGCAUGGCUGUCGUCAGCUCGUGUCGUGAGACGUUGGGUUAAGUCCCCUAACGAGCGAAACCCUUGUCUUUAGUUGCCAACAGGUCAAGCUGGGCACUCUAAAGAGACUGCUGUCGUCAAGACGGAGGAAGGUGGGGAUGACGUCAAGUCAUCAUGGCCCUUAUGUCCCGGGCUGCACACGUGCUACAAUGGUCGGUACAAAGGGAUGCCAAGUCGCAAGACGGAGCGAAACCCAAAUAAAGCCGAUCCCAGUUCAGAUUGGAGGCUGAAACCCGCCUCCAUGAAGUAGGAAUCGCUAGUAAUCGCGGAUCAGCUAUGCCGCGGUGAAUAUGUUCCCGAGCCUUGUACACACCGCCCGUCAAGCCACCCAAGCAAGAUGCACCCGAAGCCACUGGCCUAACCCGCAAGGGACGGAAGUGUCUAAGGUGUGUUUUGUGAGGAGGACUAAGUCGUGACAAGGUAGCCGUA